UACGGGGGGGGCAAGCGUUGUUCGGAAUUACUGGGCGUAAAGGGUUUGUAGGUGGCCAACUAAGUCAGACGUGAAAUCCCUCAGCUUAACUGGGGAACUGCGUCUGAGACUGGAUGGCUUGAGUGCAGGAGAGGAACGCGGAAUUCCAGGUGUAGCGGUGAAAUGCGUAGAUAUCUGGAGGAACAUCGGUGGCGAAAGCGCUCUGCUGGACUGCAACUGACACUCAGGGACGAAAGCUAGGGGAGCGAAUGGG
rnacentral:rRNA from 1 species